GUGCCCGAAGCUGGAUUCUCUUCGGAGAAGAAGGUGGAGCGCACGAACCGAACCGGUAGUAGUCAAGCAAUGGGGUGACGCAGGAAGGUAGUCCAACCACGGCGAUGGUAGUCCGUGGGCAAGGUAGUAGGGCGAGACGUAGGCAAAUCCGCGUCUCAUAUGCCUGAGAACCGAUGCGGAGCCGAUUCAGGCGAAGUGGAUGAUCCUAUGCUGCCAAGAAAAGCCUCUAGCGAGUGAUUUCACCGCCCGUACCCCAAACCGACACAGGUGGUCAGGUAGAGAAUACUAAGGCGAUCGAGUGAACCAUGGUUAAGGAACUCGGCAAAAUGCCCCCGUAACUUAGGGAUAAGGGGGGCCACUGCUGGUGUAGGGAUUUACUCCCGAAGCUGGUGGAGGCCGCAGAGACCAGGCUGAAGCGACUGUUUAUCUAAAAACACAGGUCCAUGCGAAGUCGCAAGACGAUGUAUAUGGACUGACGCCUGCCCGGUGC
rnacentral:rRNA from 1 species